GGUACCUUAUGGGGCAUGGAGUCUAUUUCCUGUUCAAUCGUAAACUGAAGACUAAAUCACAAAGCAGAGAUUUUUUUUUUCCAUCUGUUGAAGUGAAAUCAAAGGGAAUUUUUGAAAGGCAAGCUCUCAUUGCUGUUCACUGGGAAUCAAGCCCUUGUUACACUUAAUGGAUGUUCCAUGCCAAGUUCCCCAACCCCUGGGGGUGAAAAUUUCCCCUAAAAAGACCUGGAAGGAAUUCAAGGCUGCUAAAGGCUUGAAUAAAACUUUACUUAAUGUGUAUUGUACAUUUUUAUUACCCCUAGAUGAUAUGUUAUAAUUACGUUCUUAAAUCAUGUGAGAAAAACUUAAACACAUUAUUAACAAAUGAUAUUAUUCCCAAACCAAACCAGUUUGGUACCAGUCUCUCUAGAGAAGAGGAUAGUACAUGGUAAGCAGGCAAACAAAACAGUAAACAUGUCAGGAGCAGGGGAAAAUGUUAGGCACCUUGGCUUUAUCAAAGACCAUAAGACUUAGAAGAAACAAAUUUGCUUCUGCUUGAGCUGUAUGGUAAGAGGAUGGAAAUCUUUUUGAACUGUGCAAGAAAUUAUAACACAAGAUCUUUUAGCCAAAACAGAAAUACAUGUUUCCCAGAAUGAAGUAGAGAUAAAUAUUUUGGGAAGAAUGCUUAUUUUAGCUUAGAAAAUAAGUUGAACCUUUAACAUAGUUGAACUGGGCAGAAUCACAUUCUGAUGGUAUUUGGAAAUAAAAGAGAGGCAUGUUCAUUUGUAUCCUUGCUUCACCUUGUCUGAGUUCAACCAAACUUUUGUAUUAGAAGUCUCCUUAGAGGAACUGCCUUAGGAACUCUUACAUUCAGACACACAUUAUGAAGUCUUAAGCAAAGCAACUUUUGAAAAUUGGAGAAUUGGAAGUAAAGCUAAAAUAGCUGGAAUUGCAUUGCCGCUGUGUGAAUGGCCCAGAACCUCUUUUGGACGGGAGAUUACUGUCUUCUUUCUUGGCAUCCUCCUGGCUGGUGGGACCCAGGGCGCACAAGCAGGCAGAGGCAGGUUCUCUCCAAGAGCCUCCACAGCGAGUUCUGGAAGGGGUUGGCACCCACCUGGAGGUGAGGAACCGUAGGUGGAGGCUGGCUCCUCCAUUGCUUGGUUGAAGAUCAAAACAGAUUUCGUCUUGGCAAAUGGCUUUUCGAAAUCAAAACCUCACAGCACUUAAAAAUGAUCCUUCAGCAAUGUACAAAGGGAGAUGGACUGGAAGACAUUUUGCAGGAACUUGCAAUGUUACGUGUCCAUGGAAAGAAACUGACAUGGUUGAUAAUGCUAUUUGGUUACCCAGGAAUCUUGAGUGGAGGGGAUAUUUGUAGGAACGUGCAGGAGCAGAUAAAGGGCUUCUGCAUUUCUGUCCUUGUUAAAGCUACACGGACUCUAUCUGCACAAAUCUAAUUAUAUGUCUAUAUUAGAAAUAUGAAUGAAAUACACCAGUCAUUUCUACUUGCAUUAAGUAUUCUGUUUCUCCCAGACUUGCAAAAUCCUAUGUAAUCAAAGAGAUACAGGACCCAUGAACAAUGACUAUUGAAUGGGGAUGACAUAGCCCACGAGAGAAAGUAUAUUUUUUAUUAUAAGUAUAAAAAGCACGUUUUCUAUUGUAAGGAUAGUUUUUAUUGAAAAUGUAUUUUUUAUUGUUAGCAUUGCAAGUUUCCCACUAGUUUACAGUAUAAAAAGAGGUUGAUAUUGCAAUAUUGCAAUCCCUUAGAAAAACAUACUGAGAAAAUCAUGUUCAUAAGUAUUUCUGCACUAUUUUAGGAAAUAAUAGAAAAUAUUUCCUUUUCCUAAUCUUUCCUUUAUUCCUUGAAACUUGUGAUCAAUUCAUGUUGGUCAGAACUGGCCUCUAAGGUCAUCAAAAGAGAUAAUAUCUGAUGCGUAUCUAUGCAGUAAAGUCAGUACUUUAAUCUCUCAGAAAUAGGCAAUAAAAUAUGCCAUUAUCAUAAACUCUCAUCUAAACUGUCAAUAAUUCAGAGGCUUGAGCAAUCAUCUGGACAGCCUAGAAAGUCAAUUUGGACAAUUCUACAACCACAUUUUGUACUGAAUUUAUUAGAUAACUCUGCUUUGCCAAUGUAGACAUGAUCUAAGUUUAUCUAAAAGUUCUCUAGGGAGAACUAAAUACCUAAAGACAGCCCCAAACUGUGACCAUUAGGAACUUGCAUAAAUUCACUGAAAACAAAUUAUACUGAUCUCAUUUUUAGAUGACAUUGCUAGAAUGGCUUAUCAGGGGAAUGCCAUGACUUUCUUGAACUUCAGUUUUAGCAAAAUUUUGGUCAGUGUUUUUCAAAGUCAUGAGGCAAUGGAAUAUAGAGAAGUAGAGAUAAAUGAACAGGAUUCUGGUUUGAGCUCUUUCUCAGAGGAGGUAUGUAGCUUGAAAAAGUAAUGUCAUCAGUUCUUAGACAAAGUGAUAAAUCACGCACACGUAGAAACCCUUUUCCUGUUCCAAAUGCAUGCACAAUAAAGUUUUAUGAAAAAAUAUUACUUGGAAUAAAUAUAAAUAUAUACAGUGAUAUUUAAAAUAAAUAAAUUGGUUUGAAAGCAAGAAAGGAAAUUUCCAGGAGUCAGAAAUGGAAAGGAGAUGUUUCAGUAAAUAGGAGCUCAAGUUUUGUGGCCUGUGGUGGGGCCGAGACAGUGAGGCUAAAGCUUUUGGAACUGCAGCCAUUGGUUCAAAAUGAGAUAGGAUGUUGAAAUCCAUUCAUAAACCUGACUAGUAUCCAUGAGGUUGAGGGUUCAAUCCCUGGGCUCACUCAGUGGGUUAACGAUCCAGUGUUGCCAUGAGCUGUGGUGUAGGUAGCAGAUGUGGCUCAGAUCUGGACAUGAUGUGGAAAUGUAAUGGGCGCAUGGUGGACAUGUGAUAGACACAUGGUGGACAUGAGGUGACACCAAUAGACACGAGUUGGACACAUGAUGGACACAUGACGGGCAUAUAGUGGGAUGUGUAGUGUACACGCGGUAGGCACAAGGUGUACAUGUGCUGGACACGAGGUGGACACAUGAUGGACACGUGCUGUGGCUGUGGUGUAGGCCGGCAACUGUAGCUCCAAUUAGACCCCUAGCCUGGUAACCUCCAUAUGCUGCAGGUGCGGCCCUAAAAGCAAACAAACAAACAAACAAAAACAGCUGAAACCAAAUUGUAUGGAGUUUUAUUCUGAGAGUUGUCAUCUAAUAAAGUUAAUAUUAUCUUUAAAGAUACACCGAGAUUUGUACUACUACUCACUUUUUUCAAAAAUAAAGAUAUAUUUUGAGUCUAUAAAAGUAGAUAGUAAAUUUUUAAAGAAAAUCAAGGGAAUAGCCAGCACACCAUGCAGGCAGGUGGUACUUUGGACACUGGGAGUUCGCCAAGGUGGAAAAGCAGAGAUUUCUAAGGCAUCGGCAGUGUUCCAGUUCUCAGUCUGGAUGGUGCAUGCAUAGGUUUGUUUUACAGUCUUCUUUAAACUCUACACAUAAAUGUUAUAUACCUUUCCGUAUUGUGCUACAUUUUUUUUUUUUUACAGCUUUACCUGUGGCAUAUGGAAGUUCCCAGGGUAGGAAUCAAAUCAGAGCUGCAGCUGAGACCUACGCCACAGCCUUAGCAACGCUGGGAUUUGAGCCUCAUCUGCAACCUAUGACCUGUGCCACAGCUUGCAGCAGUGUUGGAUCCUUAACCCACUGAGCAAGGCCAGCGAUCGAAUCCACAUCCUCAUGGACACUAUGUCGGGUUCUUAACCCGCUGAGCCACAGUGGGACCUCCUAUGCUACAUUUCUCAAUUAAAAUUUUAAAACAUGGAAUUCGAGUAAGAUUGUCAAAACACCAAACUCCCUAAGCAAAGCAAGCUGGGAAUAUUUCCACAAUCCCGAAUAACUGGACAGUUUCCAAGAAUGGUAGGUGACACAAAAUCAGGUUACCCCCCCCCCAUGCUCAGAUUUCAUUCUUACAUCUUGACUCAUGCCACCUUCCUUUUGUAAAUUAUUAUCCAAUUUCUUUUUUAGUGACCAGCUGUAUUGAUGAUGCACUAAUAUGCGAUAUGGGAAAUUCCAAUUUGGUGACUAGAAUCUAGAGUAUAAUGGAGCUCCCAUCAUGGACUCAGUGGUAACGAACCCGACUAGUAUCCGUGGGGAUUUGGGUUUGAUCCCUGGCCUCAGUCAGUGGGUUAAAGGUCCACUGUUGCCGUGACCUGUGGUGUAGGUCACAGACUCAGCUCAGAUCCCUUGUUUCUGUGGUCAUGGCGUAGGCCGGCAGCUACAGCUCCAAUUUGACCCCCAGCCUGGAAACUUCCAUAUGAUGCAGGUGCAGCCCUAAAAAGACAAAAAAAAGUAUAAGUAGCAUCUCUUCCUUUUGAUUUGAUAGCAUGGAAUAUGGAGGAAAAUUAAAUUUUGGAGAAUAAAGAAAUUAAUAUUUAUGGCUUCUGUAUUGAAAUCAGCCUAUAGUCACAGAUAGGAUUAAGUAAUUACAGGUCGUAAGGAUAGGUGCAAAGAUGUUUUAAAUCUGUCAUAAUUCAAGAACCCUUAUAUUAUAAUUGAAUAUUUGGUAUGAUGAUUAUUUUUAUAUGUAGGUAAUGAAUAUUCCAUACAAGUUUAAUUAGCAAAAAUGCAAUGGAUAAGAAGAUAAAGGAAACAGACUUUGGCAGACUAUAACCAUGUCUUAUAAAUGUAUAUUUAAGAUACCCUCAAGAGUACUAAUUAAGUUAAGCAUAAUCAAAGAACAUUGUUAUAGCAAUAUAUUAAUAUAAUAAUAAUUUCUUUUAAAUUAUUUUAAACAUUAUAUCCAGGUAUCUUAAUGCAUUUUUUCUGUUACCAAUUAGCUCUGUAAUAAAGCAAGUACCUCCCUUUGUUUCUAUUAUGAUCUUGCUAAACUGAGUCAAAGAGGAGAAAAUUGUCUGUUUCACAAAGUAGAGCAGAGGUUAAAAAAUGAACAACUAACAUGACUAUACUAGACCAGUGACCUGAAGGCUAUACCUGGAGAGCUUUGAUGAGUCUCCAAAGUACCAAAGGUGAUAGAGCUUCAAAGACAGAAAGCAGUGUUGAGGCACUGAUGUUGAACAUCACUCAGUGCGAAUCUAAUUAGGUACCUAAUGAUUCUCUCUUGCAGAGUCCCAUAACUAGUACUUCCCGAUUCACAGCUAUGCAAAACUGCAGCUCAUUACAUGCCACACUUACUUUUCAGAAAUUCAAAAUGUAUAAUUUCAAAUGCCAAGAAUUUACUGCAUUUUUCUGGGAUGCAAACUUUGAGCUUCAUAUUGUUUCCAAACUAGUCCAGUUGUCCUCUUGCUUGUGGAUGCUCCUCAGAAGUGCUGAUUGUGUCAAAGUUCAUUACCAAUCUUUAUGGAGAGUUUACUGUGGUCAGGAAUUCUGCUAAGAACUUCACGCAUGUUACCUUGGUUUUAAUCUGCAAAAUAACUUGAUGGUUGAGGUAUUGCUGUUCCUGUUUCCAGAAGGUUACAAUUCUUAGUAACUAAUCCACCUGGUGGAGGGAUAGAUCAGGUGAGGGAUAGAUCAGGAAAACAUUGACUCAAGGGGGAAAAAGACACGUUUGCAUUCCAAAAGCCCUUUUCAUCAUUUGAAAUACUAAGUGCUGGAAGACUCAGGUCAUAAAGUCUAUAUCAUAAACCACAAUGUGAAGCGACUACAGAAUGAAACAAAAGUAACUUUCCUACACAGAAAGAACCUAAAAUUAUCUGGCCUAUGGCAAAGAGAUGAGAGAAAUCUCCAAUUGGAGAAAAGAGAGUUAAAGGCUAAAUAGCACAAUGUCUCUUCUGCUGUCUACUUUGCGAACUUCCUAGAUCCAGUGGGUCUAGGUUAACUUUAGGAAAAAUAGCAUUAGUUUCGUUUGGCCAAAGCCAUGAGCUUAUUAUGGAGCUAUCCAAGGUGCUCAUCUUGGACCGUAGCUGUCAGCUUACCAAGCUUAAUCUACCUAAUUUUCUGGUCCUACAUGUUAUAUUGUGGGGGGGGAAGUCUUUUUAUUUUUGGAGCAUGGGACUGGAGGAAGAAUCACAGUGUUUUAUUUCACAUUUAAUUGAAUUAUUAGAGGUCCUACUUUCAUAAGAAUAUAACAUCCCUGCUUUCAGAGGCAGUCAGUGGAAACCUAAAUAGGACCACAAGGAGACAUUUAAACAAAUACUAGUCAGUGUUGGAGUGUGGUUUAUACAAACUGAAUUUUUAAAAGCUUCAAGAGUUGUAUUUCAACCAAAAUGUUGUUCUGUAGUUUUAUAUUUUUAAGGCCUGGUAUUGCCCAAAGUAGUGAAACUAAGAAUGUUCUGCUAUUUUUCUUUUGAUUUUUUUUUUUUUUUACAACCUGCGGUAAAUGAAACAUACACACACAUAACUAGAACAAAAAAUUAACCAUGAGAUGUUUUCUGUUCUGCUUACCUUUGCUGAAAAGAAAAAGUUCUGAUUAUAUCCACUAAACUGAUUUCAUGUCCCACUAAUGGGUCUUGACCCACAAUACAGGAAAAAAAAA
rnacentral:lncRNA from 1 species